rnacentral:sRNA from 1 species
AAAUUAGUUAAGACUCUGCAUUGAACGAACAUGAACUAUUUAUGCCACCUCUACGUUCUAACUUUGACACUACAUGCGAUACUUGCUUUAUACGGGGAACAAAGAAGGGAUGGGAUCUCGGCUCAAUUUAAGAAUAUUGGUUUUACGACCGAGAGAAGGGAGAGCAUUAUUAAUAUCCCAAAGCCAUUCCCGAAACAGCCUGGUCUAAGGUGGCUCGGUUUAUACGGCAUCGACGAGAAACGACCAUGUAAAAAAGGAAUUCGGCGGCGAAUAUUUUGCAAACAAUGAAUCAGAUUUUAUUUUUAUAUUAUUGUUUGAUGAUUCUUUAAUGCAAAUGAAUAUAUUUCUUUUAAACGAGAACACCCUCCAUGGAAGAGAGAGAGAGAGAGAGAGAGAGAGAGAGAGAGAGAGAGAGAGAGCUGCAGAGAAUAAUAGAUAUAAAAGCAAAAUAUUGACUAUCACAUCCUCAAAUCAAUUUUAACGCAGUCUGUUAUUUAAAGUUCCAAAACAGUUUGGGUUUCCCCAUCAUCCAAGCCAAACGUACGUACAUGCUUCAUGUUUUAUUGCGUUAUAUCGUCUAUAUGUCAUAACUGAUAGGCCAAUGAUAGACGGUAAUUCAAAGCGCAAUUUGUACCUACUAUGUUGAAACCAACUGUGAAAACGAUAAAAGACUUUAUAGUGACUGUCAUGUUUUUAUCAUAUUCAGCUACAGUAUAAGAUUAAUUAAAAUAUAAUACGACAUAACCCUGACUGUCAUCCUGUUAAUUAACAGGCAUGGCCCAUCGCAUGAAAGCAAUGACAUAUUAGAUUAGACCAACCAAAAGAUUUACAAACCAAACACAGAGUUCAUAGUCUUUGGAUUGUGAUACAAAAGCAACAGCAGGGCCAACUUUGAUACAAUGAAACGUUUAUAAAUGCUUUAUAAAAUAUUAAUUAAUUAAAUGGAAAAGUUGGUAAAAUGGUUUAUUCAAACCAAAGGAAAAUAUCAGAUUUUACAGUCAUUUGUCAAGUUAUACAUGUAAGCGAGAUCAAAGAUAACAAUUCCUUGUUAUGUAAGCUUAUCCCAUAUCAUGUGUUUGUUAACAAUAAAUGUAUGUGUUGGGCUUC